AUACGGGGCUUAAAGUCUUGUAAUUGGAAUGAUGGGAAUCUAAACCCCUUCCAGAGUAUCAAUUGGAGGGCAAGUCUGGUGCCAGCAGCCGCGGUAAUUCCAGCUCCAAUAGCGUAUAUUAAACUUGUUGCAGUUAAAAAGCUCGUAGUUGAACUUCUGCUGUCAGGUUUUCGUUCCUUUCGGGGUUUCGUCAACCUGGUGGCUUUUUUCUGGGUGAAUUUAGCUUCGGCUUAAUUUCCCAGUAUUUUACUUUGAGAAAAUUAGAGUGCUUCAAGCAGGCUUUUGCCGUGAAUACUUCAGCAUGGAAUAAUAAAGUAGGACUUUGGUUCUAUUUUUGUUGGA
rnacentral:rRNA from 1 species